CCUACGGGUGGCAGCAGUGGGGAAUAUUGCACAAUGGGGGAAACCCUGAUGCAGCGACGCCGCGUGAGUGAAGAAGUAAUUCGUUACGUAAAGCUCUAUCAGCAGGGAAGAAAAUGACGGUACCUGACUAAGAAGCCCCGGCUAACUACGUGCCAGCAGCCGCGGUCAUACGUAGGGGGCAAGCGUUAUCCGGAUUUACUGGGUGUAAAGGGAGCGUAGACGGGGCGGCAAGUCUGAAGUGAAAGGCAGGGGCUUAACCCCUGAACUGCUUUGGAAACUGCCAUGCUAGAGUGCUGGAGAGGUAAGUGGAAUGCCUGGUGUAGCGGUGAAAUGCGUAGAUAUCAGGAGGAACACCGACGGCGAAGGCAGCUUACUGGACUGUAACUGACGUUGAGGCUCGAAGGCGUGGGGAGCAAACAGGAUUAGAUACCCGUGUAGUC
rnacentral:rRNA from 1 species